AUCAACUUUCGAUGGUAGGAUAGAGGCCUACCAUGGUGGUAACGGGUAACGGGGUGUUAGGGCACGACACCGGAGAGGGAGCCUGAGAAACGGCUACCACAUCCAAGGAUGGCAGCAGGCGCGCAAAUUACCCAAUCCCGACACGGGGAGGUAGUGACAAUAAAUAACAAUACGGGGUUCUUUCGGAUCUCGUAAUUGGAAUGAGUACAAUUUAAAUCUCUUAACGAGGAACAAUUGGAGGGCAAGUCUGGUGCCAGCAGCCGCGGUAAUUCCAGCUCCAAUAGCGUAUAUUAAAGUUGUUGCAGUUAAAAAGCUCGUAGUUGAAUUUCGGGGUUAGUAGGUUGGUCAUGCCUCUGGUAUGUACUGGUCUCACUGAUUCCUCCUUCCUGAUGAACCGUAAUGCCAUUAAUUUGGUGUUUCGGGGAAUUUGGACUGUUACUUUGAAAAAAUUAGAGUGUUUAAAGCAAGCUAACGCUUGAAUACAUUAGCAUGGAAUAAUGAAAUAGGACGUUCGAUCCUAUUUUGUUGGUUUCUAGGAUUGACGUAAUGAUUAAUAGGGAUAGUUGGGGGCAUUAGUAUUCAAUUGUCAGAGGUGAAAUUCUUGGAUUUAUUGAAGACUAACUACUGCGAAAGCAUUUGCCAAGGAUGUUUUCAUUAAUCAAGAACGAAAGUUAGGGGAUCGAAGACGAUCAGAUACCGUCGUAGUCUUAACCAUAAACUAUGCCGACUAGGGAUCGGAUGAUGUUAAUUUUUUAAUGACUCAUUCGGCGCCUUACGGGAAACCAAAGUGUUUGGGUUC
rnacentral:rRNA from 2 species